UCCCCUGGAGAGAUCCUGGGCUGCACAUCCCCCCGACUGUCCAAAGAGGUGGAGGCCGUUGUGUAUCUUGGAGAUGGCCGCUUCCAUCUGGAGUCUGUCAUGAUUGCCAACCCCAAUGUCCCCGCUUACCGGUAUGACCCAUAUAGCAAAGUCCUAUCCAGAGAACACUAUGACCACCAGCGCAUGCAGGCUGCUCGCCAAGAAGCCAUAGCCACUGCCCGCUCAGCUAAGUCCUGGGGCCUUAUUCUGGGCACUUUGGGCCGCCAGGGCAGUCCUAAGAUCCUGGAGGUCAGUGGGCUCAGGACAGCCUCUGGAGGAGGGAAGUGACUGGGAACACAGCUGGGAAAACCAGUAGGCCACAGGUUCAGCUUUGGCUGCUUGACCAGGUGACCCCCACCCUGCCUCCCUCUCCCAACAGCACCUGGAAUCUCAACUCCGAGCCUUGGGCCUUUCCUUUGUGAGGCUGCUGCUCUCUGAGAUCUUCCCCAGCAAGCUUAGCCUACUUCCCGAGGUGGAUGUGUGGGUGCAGGUGGCAUGUCCACGUCUCUCCAUUGACUGGGGCACAGCCUUCCCCAAGCCGCUGCUGACACCCUAUGAGGCGGCCGUGGCUCUGAGGGACAUUUCCUGGCAGCAGCCCUACCCGAUGGACUUCUACGCUGGCAGCUCUUUGGGGCCCUGGACGGUGAACCACGGCCAGGACCGCCGUCCCCACGCCCCGGGCCGGCCCGCGCGGGGGAAGGUGCAGGAGGGGUCCGCGCGUCCCCCUUCAGCCGUGGCUUGCGAGGAUUGCAGCUGCAGGGACGAGAAGGUGGCGCCGCUGGCUCCUUGACGUGCUCCGGGGCCUCAGGGUCCUGCCCUCCGGAGGAGCAGCCUCGAGGCUGGUGGUUUUCAGAGCAGGAGGCCGACGUUUUCUCCGCAUUGGAAGAGCCCGCCGUAUGCAGGGGCC
rnacentral:sRNA from 1 species